GCUGUGGUAGCUCAGUGGUAGAGCGCGUCCUUGGUAAGGACGAGGUCGAGAGUUCAAUUCUCUCUCACAGCACCA
rnacentral:tRNA from 1 species